rnacentral:rRNA from 1 species
UCCUGGCUCAGGAUGAACGCUGGCGGUGUGCCUAAUACAUGCAAGUCGAGCGGGGAUCUUCGGAUCCUAGCGGCGAACGGGUGAGUAACGCGUAUCCAACCUUCCCCUUAGUAGAGGAUAGCCCGGCGAAAGUCGGAUUAACACUCUAUGCUGUAUUUUGAUGGCAUCUGACGAAUACCAAAGAUUUAUCGCUAAGGGAUGGGGAUGCGUCUGAUUAGGUUGCAGGCGGGGUAACGGCCCACCUGGCCUACGAUCAGUAGGGGUUCUGAGAGGAAGGUCCCCCCACACUGGUACUGAGACACGGACCAGACUCCUACGGGAGGCAGCAGUGAGGAAUAUUGGUCAAUGGGCGCGAGCCUGAACCAGCCAAGUAGCGUGCAGGAUUGACUGCCCUAUGGGUUGUAAACUGCUUUUAUCAGGGAAUAAAGUGAGGCACGCGUGCCUUUUUGUAUGUACCUGAUGAAUAAGGACCGGCUAAUUCCGUGCCAGCAGCCGC